rnacentral:lncRNA from 1 species
GUCACAUGAAGCCACACCUUUCACUGGUCUUGCCUUCCCUACCCAGGUCAAAUAUGUAAGAGGGGAAGAGCAGCAAACUGUAUGUUAUUCUCACUUAACCUCUAUCACAUCCCGCGCACCUGAAAUACCGAGUGUAAACCAUGUCUUUCACUCCAAAGUCAUACAGUAAGCCCCAAACAGUUACAACUUCAAGCACUAGAUCCACCAAAACAGUGGAUGACGGCAAAAAGAAAUCCCUGCUGAGGGACAAUAGCUGGAUUAAGUCAAAUGUGAACGAGGAAGAACAAGUCGAACGUGAUGCGAACUUCGGCAAAAGUGUUCUGGGUCGUUAUAAGUCCACCGAAAACCUUGUCAACCCUCAAGAUAAAACUAGCAAAACCGAGAGCAAAACCAGCACUGUCACCACUUCAUCAGGUGCCUCUGUCCAAGCGCUCACUAAAAGGUAUUUCACUGCUGAAGACUUUCUUACAUCAAACAUCUUACCAUAUGUGUUACAAAUCUCUACUUCUACAACAACAAUCAAAGAUGGUACAAAGAUAACCGAGACAACUGUGACCACUACCAACAUCAAGACCUACACCAAGGAGGAUGUUUCACCAACUAAAACAACAUCCUACAGCACAAAGAGGUGGGCACUUAAGAGAUUUGACUACAAGAGUGAAGUGGUUACGGUGAAGUCUUCAAAGGCCAUCAGUGAUGUAAAAACAUACAGCUGCAGAUGGCUGACUAACCUGGAAAAAAUGUGGUUACUAAUACCUUUUAUUAACCUCUUAACCUAUUUAAUUUACAGCAUCAAGACCUACACCAAGGAGGAUGUUUCACCACCUAAAACAACAUCCUACAGCACAAAGAGACCAACUUCACCUGUCAAGACCACCACAAGCAUCAAAACCUACACCAAAGAGGAUGUUUCACCAACUAAAACAACAUCAUAUUCUGUCCGAUCCACAAAGAGCACUGAGGAUCAACUGUUCGAUACUCUCAUACCUGCAUCAAUCAAGUCAACCAACACUAAACCUGACAGCAGUCGCGAGGAUGUAUCGGUCUCCAAAUCCAUCAGAACCGUGUAUUCAACAAAUGAGAGAGAUGAGUGGAGUACAGUCACAAGCCCUUCUUACACCAGGACAUCAUACAAAGAGAGCAGGCCUGCUGAUUACCUGUCUGACUCGCUCACGUCAAAAACCACCACGACUGUGUACACAUCACCGGAAAGGGUAGUAAGUGGGAAGGACAUCUGCACGGUCUGCCAUAAAAACAUGUACACCGAUGAAAAGAUUAUCCUGGAUGACAUGAAUAUCAACUGUCACGCAAGUUGUUUCAAGUGUGGGGUGUGUAAUGUUUCUCUGGGACACCUGAAGGCAGGGGACAGUUUGUGGGUGUACCGUCAUGCCAUUCACUGUGAAAGCUGCUUUGGUGUCACUAAGGGCAAAUGGCUCCGCUGAAACCACACUUGGCAAUAGUGAUGCUAUGAGAGAGACGGCAGAUAUACUUGCCUAUUCCAAAACUUUCCCGUAGCUUUGAUUUGGACUCGGGCCAUUUGAAGUGCAGAAACAGUUAUGGUGGUGGACUUCUGUCUGAUAAUAGACUUUGGGGUUUAUUAAUUGCAUUGAUUGCCAUUCUCCCCGAUGAUGUGACAAGGAUCUUAUUUAAUUACCAAAAUAAUAAAAAUAUUUUUAAAGAAGAAUAUUUUUCCUAA